UCCCUUGUGGUCUAGUGGUUAAGAACCUGCCUUCCAAUGCAGGGGACCUAGGUUCAAUCCCUGGUCAGGGAU
rnacentral:tRNA from 1 species